rnacentral:rRNA from 1 species
CAGCCGCCGCGGUAAUACGAAGGGUGCAAGCGUUACUCGGAAUUACUGGGCGUAAAGCGUGCGUAGGUGGUGGUUUAAGUCCGUUGUGAAAGCCCUGGGCUCAACCUGGGAAUUGCAGUGGAUACUGGGUCACUAGAGUGUGGUAGAGGAUUGUGGAAUUUCCGGUGUAGCAGUGAAAUGCGUAGAGAUCGGAAGGAACAUCUGUGGCGAAGGCGACUAUCUGGGCCAACACUGACACUGAGGCACGAAAGCGUGGGGAGCAAACAGGAUUAGAUACCCCCGUAGUCCCUGUCUCUUAUAC